rnacentral:pre_miRNA from 1 species
UCUUAUGGAUGAGCAAAGAAAGUGGUUUCUUGCUAUGGAAUCUACUGCUGGUGAAGAUGCUGUGAG